CCUACGGGGGGCAGCAGUGGGGAAUAUUGGACAAUGGGGGGAACCCUGAUCCAGCCAUGCCGCGUGUGUGAAGAAGGCCCUCGGGGUGUAAAGCACUUUCAGUGAGGAAGAACGCCUGGUGGUUAAUACCCAUCAGGAAAGACAUCACUCACAGAAGAAGCACCGGCUAACUCCGUGCCAGCAGCCGCGGUAAUACGGAGGGUGCGAGCGUUAAUCGGAAUUACUGGGCGUAAAGCGCGCGUAGGUGGCUUGAUAAGCCGGUUGUGAAAGCCCCGGGCUCAACCUGGGAACGGCAUCCGGAACUGUCAAGCUAGAGUGCAGGAGAGGAAGGUAGAAUUCCCGGUGUAGCGGUGAAAUGCGUAGAGAUCGGGAGGAAUACCAGUGGCGAAGGCGGCCUUCUGGACUGACACUGACACUGAGGUGCGAAAGCGUGGGUAGCAAACAGGAUUAGAUACCCCUGUAGUC
rnacentral:rRNA from 1 species